GAUGAACGCUGGCGGCGUGCCUAAUACAUGCAAGUCGAGCGAACAGAUGAGGAGCUUGCUCCUCUGACGUUAGCGGCGGACGGGUGAGUAACACGUGGAUAACCUACCUAUAAGACGGGGAUAACUUCGGGAAACCGGAUCUAAUACCGGAUAAUAUAUUGAACCGCAUGGUUCAAUAGUGAAAGACGGUGUUUCUGUCACUUAUAGAUGGAUCCGCGCCGCAUUAGCUAGUUGGUAAGGUAACGGCUUACCAAGGCAACGAUGCGUAGCCGACCUGAGAGGGUGAUCGGCCACACUGGAACUGAGACACGGUCCAGACUCCUACGGGAGGCAGCAGUAGGGAAUCUUCCGCAGUGGGCGAAAGCCUGACGGAGCAACGCGGCGUGAGUGAUGAAGGUCUUCGGAUCGUAAAACUCUGUUAUUAGGGAAGAACAAAUGUGUAAGUAACUAUGCACGUCUUGACGGUACCUAAUCAGAAAGCCACGGCUAACUACGUG
rnacentral:rRNA from 1 species